AGUGAACGCUGGCGGUAUGCCUAACACAUGCAAGUCGAACGGCAGCACAGUAAGAGCUUGCUCUUACGGGUGGCGAGUGGCGGACGGGUGAGGCAUACAUCGGAAUCUUCUUUUUCGUGGGGGAUAACGUAGGGAAACUUACGCUAAUACCUCAUACGAUCUACGGGUUAAAGCAGGGGAUCUUCGGACCUUUCGCGAUUGAAUGAGCCGAUGUCGGAUUAGCUAGUUGGCGGGGUAAAGGCCCACCAAGGCGACGAUCCGUAGCUGGUCUGAGAGGAUGAUCAGCCACACUGGAACUGAGACACGGUCCAGACUCCUACGGGAGGCAGCAGUGGGGAAUAUUGGACAAUGGGCGCAAGCCUGAUCCAGCCAUACCGCGUGGGUGAAGAAGGCCUUCGGGUUGUAAAGCCCUUUUGUUGGGAAAGAAAAGCAGCAGGUUAAUACCCCGCUGUUCUGACGGUACCCAAAGAAUAAGCACCGGCUAACUUCGUG
rnacentral:rRNA from 1 species